rnacentral:rRNA from 1 species
GACAGAGGGUGCAAACGUUGUUCGGAAUUACUGGGCGUAAAGCGUGUGUAGGCGGUCUCUUAAGUCGGAUGUGAAAGCCCCGGGCUUAACCUGGGAAUGGCCGUCGAAACUGGCGAACUGGAGUGUGGCAGAGGGGGGUGGAAUUCCGCGUGUAGCAGUGAAAUGCGUAGAGAUGCGGAGGAACACCGAUGGCGAAGGCAGCCCCCUGGGCUGACACUGACGCUCAGGCACGAAAGCGUGGGGAGCAAACAGG